CCUACGGGAGGCAGCAGUGAGGAAUAUUGGUCAAUGGCCGGAAGCCUGAACCAGCCAAGUCGCGUGAGGGAAGAAGGUACUGAGUAUUGUAAACCUCUUUUGCCAGGGGACAAAGUCAGCCUCGGGAGGCCGUAAGAGGGUACCUGGAGAAAAAGCAUCGGCUAACUCCGUGCCAGCAGCCGCGGUAAUACGGAGGAUGCGAGCGUUCUCCGGAUUUAUUGGGUUUAAAGGGUGCGCAGGCGGCGUGUAAAGUCAGCGGUAAAAUGUCGGGGCUCAACCCCGGCCGGCCGUUGAGACUGGCGGGCUCGAGAUGGAGAGAAGUAUGCGGAAUUCGUGGUGUAGCGGUGAAAUGCUUAGAUAGUACGAAGAACCCCGAUUGCGAAGGCAGCAUACCGGCUCCACACUGACGCUGAGGCACGAAAGCGUGGGUAUCGAACAGGAUUAGAUACCCCUGUAGUC
rnacentral:rRNA from 1 species